GGCGUCCACAAAGCCGCCCUGAACACACCUCGCCCUGUCUGAUUUCAGAAGCUAAGCAGGGACAGGCCUAAUUAAUGUUUGAAUGGGAGACCAGCAAAAAGCAAAGCAUGCUCCU
rnacentral:rRNA from 1 species